rnacentral:rRNA from 1 species
CAGUAGCCACGGGAAUACGAAUGGGGCUAGCGUUGUUCGGAUUUACUGGGCGUAAAGCGCACGUAGGCGGACUUUUAAGUCAGGGGUGAAAUCCCGGGGCUCAACCCCGGAACUGCCUUUGAUACUGGAAGUCUUGAGUAUGGUAGAGGUGAGUGGAAUUCCGAGUGUAGAGGUGAAAUUCGUAGAUAUUCGGAGGAACACCAGUGGCGAAGGCGGCUCACUGGACCAUUACUGACGCUGAGGUGCGAAAGCGUGGGGAGCAAACAGGAUUAGAUACCCCGGUAGUCCCUGUCUCUUAUAC